rnacentral:lncRNA from 10 species
GAAGUUAUUCUGGGAAUGUUCAUGUUCCUCCUGGUGGUGAUGAGGAUUUUAAGCUACCACAUGGGACCUAGUAUUGGACUGCUUCUAUGCCCACCUUCCCUGGCCUCUCCGGUAGACACAGGAUCUAACACAGCACAAAGAAAUCAAAUCACUGCCAUUGCAGGGAUUAUAAUGAAAUGGUCAUCAGGUGGUUCCUUCAUAAACAGGAUUUGCUGUCAAGUUAAUGCUGAGUACAAAGAUAAAAUAGCCUCCUCCCGUCUUCCAUCCCCUAAGGUCAUAACUCAAUCCCUUUUCUCUCUGUAUUCAGAAAUCUCCCAGUUACCUGGAGCCACAUUGCUAGUUCAUAUAUGCUCACCUACAAGCACCUGAGCAUGCCUUUAGGGUCUGGGAAGAAAUGACAUCAGUAGUAUAGCUUGGAGAUGGGAGCUGGGAUUUCUCCUGAUUGUGUGUAGUUCUCUGAAGGAAGGUGCCACCUCUCUCUCCACCUCUGUUUGAACCACCGCCUACUUCUUGCCUGUUCUCUGUAAACCCUGCAAGGACAAAUGCCCCCAUAAAAGCUCUUCUCUGAGCUGCAGUACAGCCCUGAGCAUGGAAGCUUCCCUUGCAGCCCGUAGAUCUCAGCAUGGCCAACAUUUCCUGAAAUGGGCAAAGACCAUCCCAUCCACAAGCUCCACGUUCAAAUUACUCUCUCCAAGUCCCAUCUGCCCAUUCCAGGAUGCCGGCUCUCCACCAGGUCCCCUCAGGAUCUCUUCAGGCUGACUGUAGUAGCCUGCUAAUCAGACUCUGUUUCCAUCAUUAUUAGAAUUAACUUUCAAAAACACAAUUCUCAUCAUACCAUACCCCUCACUGAAAUGCCCCAUUGGCUCUUCAAUGCCUACCUCCACUUUCUGUACCUUUUCAGUUUCAGCUGUACUAAAAUACUCAUGUUCACCAGCAUGCAAUGCCCUUCAGGCCUCCUUGCUCUUGCAUUGUUAACUGGUCAUCUUCCACACACUCAUUCCUACUUCAAUACCCAGCUCAACUAGCCUGUUGGCACCCCAGAGGUAGUUCCUCCUUCCUCUGCACCCUCGUAGUGAUCGAUC